rnacentral:lncRNA from 1 species
CUAUGAAAUCUUUAUCUAGUGUCAACAGAAAAAUCCUGCCCUUAGAACUCAUGCUCUAAGCGCCCGGCCUCCGGUAUGUCUACCACAUAUUCCUUCGUGUAAUUCCCUCAUAACGUACUCUGCUUUGUCUUUUGUUAGGCACUUCAUCAUUGGCGUGGUAUAUCCUCUUCGGUAUAAAUCCUCUCCCACCAGGCAGUACCUAGCAAUCCUAUUAGCAUCCUCAGCCCGAAAGUUCUUUCCCUCCUCUUGUUCCCUAAUCAACUACGUAAGUUCCUCUUUUCCAACCUCUUUGACUCGCUAUGUUUCACUCGUUAAAACAUUCAAUUGUUGGCCUCAUUAUCACUUGCCUAAUUACAAAAGACAAGUGUCCC